GACGAACGCUGGCGGCGUGCCUAAUACAUGCAAGUAGAACGCAGUUGCGAACGGGUGAGUAACGCGUAGGUAACUGCCUGGUAGCGGGGGAUAACAAUUGGAAACGAUAGAUAAUACCGCAUACUACCAGAUGGACCUGCGGUGUAUUAGCUAGUGGGUGGGGUACCGGCUCACCAAGGCAACGAUACAUAGCCGACCUGAGAGGGUGAUCGGCCACACUGGGACUGAGACACGGCCCAGACUCCUACGGGAGGCAGCAGUGGGGAAUAUUGCACAAUGGGCGCAAGCCUGAUGCAGCCAUGCCGCGUGUGUGAAGAAGGCCUUCGGGUUGUAAAGCACUUUCAGCGGGGAGCGUUACCCGCAGAAGAAGCACCGGCUAACUCCGUGCCAGCAGCCGCGGUAAUAC
rnacentral:rRNA from 1 species